rnacentral:rRNA from 1 species
GACGAACGCUGGCGGCGCGCUUAACACAUGCAAGUCGUGCGAUACCUCGAGCAAGUCUUACGACAAGCUCAAGGUGUAGCGGCGGACGGGUGAGUAACACGUGAGUAGCUGUCCUAAGGAGGGGGAUAACGCCUGGAAACGGGUGCUAAAACCCCAUAUGCCUCGCAAGAGGUGAAAGUGUAGCUUGCUACAGCCUUAGGGUGUGCUCGCGGCCUAUCAGCUAGUUGGUGAGGUAACGGCUCACCAAGGCUAAGACGGGUAGCCGGCCUGAGAGGGUGUACGGCCACACUGGAAUUGAGAUACGGUCCAGACUCCUACGGGAGGCAGCAGUGGGGAAUCUUGGGCAAUGGGCGAAAGCCUGACCCAGCGACGCCGCGUUGGGGAUGAAGCCCUUCGGGGUGUAAACCCAUGUUGUAGGGGACGAAGAAAGUGACGGUACCCUACGAGGAAGCCCCGGCUAACUACGUGCCAGCAGCCGCGGUAAUACGUAUGGGGCUAGCGUUGUUCGGAUUUAUUGGGCGUAAAGGGCGUGUAGGCGGGGGACUAAGUCAGGUGUGAAAUCCAUGGGCUCAACCCAUGAACUGCACUUGAUACUGGUUCUCUUGAGUUUGGAAGAGGAGAGCGGAAUUCCCGGUGUAGUGGUGGAAUGCGUAGAUAUCGGGAGGAACACCAGUGGCGAAAGCGGCUUCCUGGUCCGCACCUGACGCUAGAUGCGAAAGCGUGGGGAGCGAACG